rnacentral:rRNA from 1 species
UUUUGGACAAUGGGCGCAAGCCUGAUCCAGCCAUGCCGCGUGCAGGAUGAAGGCCUUCGGGUUGUAAACUGCUUUUGUACGGAACGAAAAGGUGCCUUCUAAUAAAGGGCGCUCAUGACGGUACCGUAAGAAUAAGCACCGGCUAACUACGUGCCAGCAGCCGCGGUAAUACGUAGGGUGCGAGCGUUAAUCGGAAUUACUGGGCGUAAAGCGUGCGCAGGCGGUUUUGUACGACAGAGGUGAAAUCCCCGGGCUCAACCUGGGAACUGCCUUUGUGACUGCGAGGCUGGAGUGCGGCAGAGGGGAAUGGAAUUCCACGUGUAGCAGUGAAAUGCGUAGAGAUGUGGAGGAACACCGAUGGCG